rnacentral:rRNA from 1 species
AUUGAACGCUGGCGGCAGGCCUAACACAUGCAAGUCGAACGGAUGCACAGUGCUUGCUUGUUGUUACCGCGGGGGACUCGCGGGUGUUUCAUGAGAAUAUCCUUAUCUAGUUUUUGGGAUGGCUUCACGUAGGGGCUCCUACUCCCGUACAGCAGAUGACGUACGGGGGGGAGCGUGGGAUCUUCGGGGCUGUUGCGAUUGGACGAGCGGAGGUCGGAUUAGCUAGUUGGGGGGGUAAAGGCCCACCAAGGCGACGAUCCGUAGCGGGUCUGAGAGGAUGAUCAGCCACACUGGAACUGAGACACGGUCCAGACUCCUACGGGAGGCAGCAGUGGGGGAUAUUGGACAAUGGGCGAAAGCCUGAUCCAGCCAUACCGCGUGUGUGAAGAAGGCCUUCGGGUUGUAAAGCCCUUUUGUUGGGAAGGAAAAGCAGCAGGUUAAUACCCCGCUGUUCUGACGGUACCCAAAGAAUAAGCACCGGCUAACUUCGUG